CGCGGUCGUGGCGAUUGCGCUGGCCGUGGCGGUGCUGCCGCCGCUGCUGUGGGGCCAGCCGUGGUUCGAUGCCCUGUACCGCGC
rnacentral:tRNA from 1 species